rnacentral:rRNA from 1 species
GACGGAGGGUGCAAGCGUUGUUCGGAUUGACUGGGCGUAAAGGGCGUGUAGGCGGUUGGUCAAGUCUGAUGUGAAAGCCCGGGGCUCAGCCCCGGAAGGGCAUCGGAAACUAGCCAGCUGGAGCGCGAUAGAGGAGGGUGGAAGUUCCUGGUGUAGCGGUGAAAUGCGUAGAUAUCAGGAGGAACACCGGCGGCGAAGGCGGCCCUCUGGAUCGUUGCUGACGCUGAGACGCGAAAGCGUGGGGAGCAAACAGG